rnacentral:tRNA from 1 species
CGACGUGGGCAGGAUUCGAACCUACGCCCCCGAAGGGAUUUGAUAGCUAUACAACUACCGAUGGUGUUGUUUCUAGUCAAACUCAUUAACCACUUUGAUACCUGGAG